rnacentral:rRNA from 1 species
UACGAAGGGGGCUAGCGUUGCUCGGAAUCACUGGGCGUAAAGGGUGCGUAGGCGGGUCUUUUAAGUCAGGGGUGAAAUCCUGGAGCUCAACUCCAGAACUGCCUUUGAUACUGAAGAUCUUGAGUUCGGGAGAGGUGAGUGGAACUGCGAGUGUAGAGGUGAAAAUUCGUAGAUAUUCGCAAGAACACCAGUGGCGAAGGCGGCUCACUGGCCCGAUAACUGACGCUGAGGCACGAAAGCGUGGGGAGCAAACAGGG